AAAAAAAACCCGUCACAGCUUAAUGUAAUGAAGGAAAUAAUUAUAUCCAUACCUUUCCAUUGAAGCACAAAACUAAUGCAUUGGCUUGAAACAGGAAACUAAAAUAGUAAACAAACGAGAUAAAUAUGCCCGCUUUGUUGGUUUCUAGAACAAGAAGGAAAUCCAUGAAUCUAAUUUCUCUCAUUUCAAAACCAAAGUUCAUGCUCAGCAUUUAUAUUUAGGCAAGAAGUGGAUAUAUACAAGUACAGCAGUAACCUAUCCUAGCCUGAGGUACAUAUGCAACAACCGCAAUAUUAACACUUCGAUCACCGGCCUGAACAAAUUUGAGAAAUUUUGAAAUGAAGAAAAACCGUUUUAAUAGAAGAGAUGCAAGAAGACAAGUAGACUCUAGAAGUACCUCAGAUGCCUCCCGAAUUGGCAGUGAACUCAGCUGAGAUGGAGAAAGGUACACUUUUAAUUGAUCUACAACAGAGAGUAAAGCAUCAGAGGAAAAAUUCGAGGGUGCAAACACUAUUUAGAAAUACGAAUGGAGGAACUAUUACUCUAUUUGUAAUAUGUUCACCACCAACUGUUACAACAUGAACUUGAAUGCUCUCUUCAGCUAUCAUUGCUUUGAAUAUAUAUUGAAGCUUAAGCUGUAGUCACAACUUCCCUAGCAGGAGCAUAUUGGCAUCUUUGCGAUCACUGCUAAAAAGUUGUAAGAUGUACAACCACCGAAAUACCGAAUAGAUUAACUAGAACCCAAGUUACGUUGCAAAUUAAACAACAAAAAAGAAGAUUCAUCUAUAAAGUUUAUAAUUAUACAAUAAAAGUUUGGAUGAUAACAUUAAAACUUUCAUCAACAUAAUCAGCAAAAUGAGGAAUAGUCACGCUAUGACCUGAAAUAAUAACAAAGCCGAUAUUCUUCCUCCUCCAUCAUAUUGAUAUUAUUUUCUUUUUUUCCCCUUUGGUAAAACCCAUCCUCCAAGAGUUCAAUAUAUCCACAUCAAGAGAGCCGACAUUGUGAUGUUGAGAUGGAUAUGUGAUGGGACAAAAAAGUAUUAACUGAAAAAUCUUAUCAACUGGAUGGAAUUGAAAUCCUUGAAGAUUAUACUUGAGAGUCAAUUAGGCUGGUGGUAUCAGAGCCAAACCCGGGUUAACAAUCAAACUGAACAACAUCCUAGCAUCUACUCCAGUCUGCAACCUGUUAUUCUACUACUACAAACAAGCCGCUAGUUCCACUCAAGCCACAAUUGUAACAAAACAAACACCGCCGUCCAACAAUCAUCCCACUGCACCACUCCAAACUACCAUCCAUCAUCUCCCGGCGAUAUCUUCAUCAAAUUCCCAAAACUGCUGCUGCGUAGCCUAUGAUACCUAAAAUUUACCUCCAGCAAUUUGUUAUUCAUUGCAACCUGAAAUUUUAGUUGUUUACCCAGCCAUCUCUUUCUCAAAAUCAACCGUCCAAAAAAAAAAAA
rnacentral:lncRNA from 1 species